AACCCGUGUUGCGGACACUUCCGCAAGAGGUCCUUGAAUCACUCACAAGUCUCAAACAAGAAUUCAAGUUCCAUUUGAACAAAUGAAGAUAUCUCAUUGCGAAGAUU